CAAUUUAAUGCCCUUUUUACUUACUUAGCCAUUGGUCCUUACCAAAGUCUAGACUUUGACUUUUAAAUGUUACCUCUUCCCACAAU